UGGGGAAUAUUGCGCAAUGGGCGAAAGCCUGACGCAGCAACGCCGCGUGAGUGAAGAAGGCCUUUGGGUUGUAAAGCUCUUUCGGCCGGGAAGAAGGGAGUGGGUGUUAAUAGCAUUUACUUUUGAUGGUACCGGAAGAAGAAGCACCGGCUAACUUCGUGCCAGCAGCCGCGGUAAUACGAAGGGUGCGAGCGUUGUUCGGAAUUAUUGGGCGUAAAGGGUUUGUAGGCUGGAAUAUAAGUCAAGUGUGAAAUCCCCGAGCUAAACUUGGGACGUGCAUUUGAAACUGUGUGUCUUGAGUAUCGUAGAGGGUGGUGGAAUUGUAGGUGUAGGAGUGACAUCCGUAGAGAUCUGCAGGAACAUCAGAGGCGAAGGCGACCACCUGGACGAUUACUGACGCUGAGGAACGAAAGCGUGGGGAGCAAACAGG
rnacentral:rRNA from 1 species